UGGCCUUGACAUAGAAAGAACUUACUAGAGAUAGUUUGGUGCUAGCUUGCUAGAACUUUCACACAGGUGCUGCACGGCUGUCGUCAGCUCGUGUCGUGAGAUGUUGGGUUAAGUCCCGCAACGAGCGCAACCCUCGUGUUUAGUUACUAACAGUUCGGCUGAGGACUCUAGACAGACUGCCUUCGUAAGGAGGAGGAAGGUGAGGACGACGUCAAGUCAUCAUGGCCCUUACGGCCAGGGCUACACACGUGCUACAAUGGGGCAUACAAAGAGCAGCAAUACCGCGAGGUGGAGCAAAUCUCAUAAAAUGCCUCCCAGUUCGGAUAGCAGUCUGCAACUCGACUGCUUGAAG
rnacentral:rRNA from 1 species